UNGCACUUUAGGCUCUGAUUGACCAUCCUC
rnacentral:piRNA from 1 species